rnacentral:pre_miRNA from 1 species
CAUAUACUCCCUUCAUCCCAAAAUUCUUGUCUUAGAUUUGUCUAAAUAAGAAUGUAUCUAGUCACAUUUUAGUAUUUAGAUACAUCCAUUUCUAAAAAAACCUAAGACAAGAAUUUUGGGACGGAGGGAGUAAUAU